AGGCCUAACACAUGCAAGUCGAACGGUAACAGGAAGCAGCUUGCUGCUUCGCUGACGAGUGGCGGACGGGUGAGUAAUGUCUGGGAAACUGCCUGAUGGAGGGGGAUAACUACUGGAAACGGUAGCUAAUACCGCAUAACGUCGCAAGACCAAAGAGGGGGACCUUAGGGCCUCUUGCCAUCGGAUGUGCCCAGAUGGGAUUAGCUAGUAGGUGGGGUAACGGCUCACCUAGGCGACGAUCCCUAGCUGGUCUGAGAGGAUGACCAGCCACACUGGAACUGAGACACGGUCCAGACUCCUACGGGAGGCAGCAGUGGGGAAUAUUGCACAAUGGGCGCAAGCCUGAUGCAGCCAUGCCGCGUGUAUGAAGAAGGCCUUCGGGUUGUAAAGUACUUUCAGCGGGGAGGAAGGGAGUAAGGUUAAUACCUUUGCUCAUUGACGUUACCCGCAGAAGAAGCACCGGCUAACUCCGUGCCAGCAGCCGCGGUAAUACGGAGGGUGCAAGCGUUAAUCGGAAUUACUGGGCGUAAAGCGCACGCAGGCGGUUUGUUAAGUCAGAUGUGAAAUCCCCGGGCUCAACCUGGGAACUGCAUCUGAUACUGGCAAGCUUGAGUCUCGUA
rnacentral:rRNA from 1 species